rnacentral:lncRNA from 1 species
AGCCACUGCAUCUAGCCUCCAUGUCACUAUAAUGCCUUACACUAUUCACCACCUUCUUUUUUUUGAGACAGAGUCUUGCUGUGUCACCCAGGCUGGAGUGCAGUGGCAUAAUCUUGGCUCACUGCAACUUCUCCCUCCUGGGUUCAAGCAAGCAUGUCUGGCCAAUUUGUGUAUUCUUAGUAGAGACGGGGUUUCAUCAUGUUGGCCAGGCUGGUCUCAAACUCCUGACCUCCAGUGAUCCACCUGCCUCAGCCUCCCAAAGUGCUCGGAUUACAGGCGUGAACCACUGCACCCAGCUGUUCACCACCUUCUUACUUUGUUCAUGGCCUUAGUCCAAAGGCCAAGCCCCAACUCACUUGCUACUCUCUCUCAACACCUGUUGCAGGAUCCAUUAUUAUCUGUGGCUUACAGUCAAAGGAGCCUCUGUUUCUACUGCUGCAAAGGCAAGAGGAAAACUAAUAGAGAUAGGCCAGAAAGCCUAAAGGAAGCAGGAAAACAAAAACAAAAAACACGAAACCUUAGCACUGAAGGAGCCUAGGGCGGGAAGUCCCCGAAUUCUGUUGGCGGAACUCAA